rnacentral:rRNA from 1 species
UACGUAGGGGGCAAGCGUUGUCCGGAAUCAUUGGGCGUAAAGAGCGCGUAGGCGGUCCGGUAAGUCCGCUCUGAAAGUCCGGGGCUCAACCCCGGGAGGCGGGCGGAUACUGUCGGGCUAGAGUCCGGAAGAGGCGAGUGGAAUUCCUGGUGUAGCGGUGAAAUGCGUAGAUAUCAGGAGGAACACCUGUGGCGAAAGCGGCUCACUGGACCAUAACUGACGCUGAUGCACGAAAGCUAGGGGAGCAAACAGG